AUUGAACGCUGGCGGCAGGCCUAACACAUGCAAGUCGAGCGAGCGGCGGACGGGUGAGUAAUGUAUGGGGACUGCCCGAUAGAGGGGGGGAACAACUGGAAACGGUGGCUAAUACCGCAUACAGUCGUAUACCCCCUAUGGGAUUAGCUCGUGGGUAAGGUAAUGGCUUACCUAGGCGAAGAUCCCUAGCUGGUUUGAGAGGAGGAUCAGCCAGACUGGGACAUAGACACGGCCCAGACUCCUACGGAGGCAGCAGUGGGGAAUAUUGGACAAUGGGGGAAACCCUGAUGCAGCCAUCCCGCGUGUAUGAAGAAGGCCUUAGGGUUGUAAAGUACUUUCAGCCGGGAGGCGUUAUCUACAGAAUAAGCACCGGCUAACUCCGUGCCAGCAGCCGCGGUAAUUC
rnacentral:rRNA from 1 species